CAUUCAGGCCUGGUCAGGAGUGGGAAGGCAGGCUUAGCGGGAAGAUGAGGCGAGUUCCCCUCCGGAGGCCAGGGAAAGGCCAGGGAAGGUAGCCUCCCUUGUUAAAUAUCAGCCCAGUCCCUUGUCUCCUCAGAACUAUGCUGUGGAUCCCACCUCCACUCGUCCAAGCCUCCUGAUGGCCCACAGCGCCCACACCAGCUGCUGGCCAUCUCACCACUCUCCCACUUCUUAUCUGCGCUUCAGACACACAGUGCUCAACCACGCUAACCCCACCUCAGGGCCUUUGCACUGGCUGUUGUCUCUGCCCAGAACACUCUCCCAAGAUGUCCAACCGGCUGGCUCAGAUGUUUACAUGCAGCCUCAUGACAAAGGCCUCCCAGACUCCCCGAGACUCUAUCCCUCACCCUAGCAUAUUUUCUUCCCAUUGCACCAGGAGCUCUCAUAUGGGUACCCAGAAUGGAGGGGGCCCUGGCACUGACAGGAGGUGACAGGUGCAGGGAAGGUGCCCUCUAACUUCAAGGCUGAACCUAGAACCAAGGCAGCGGGGCCCCGGGAGCCCAGCCCCAUCAGAACUGUGCCAAGGUUUGGGCGGCGGCUGGGGGAGGUGCUGCGGUUCUAUUUAUUUUGGGGCAUCAGUCCUGGGAGGGCUCUCCAGGAGCAAGGUAACAAACACUUCAAUGCGCUGUGUGGAGCGGUGCACCUCCGAGAAUGGGAGCAAACAGCUCAAGGCCACACAGCGAGCAGCACCAAAGCUGGGCGCUCAGCGCUCCGUUGGCGUGUCCCGCGCAGCAGCCAUCCACAGCCUGGCUGGGGCUCUGAGGGCAGGGCUCCCUGCGAUGCUGCGGACUUGAGCACAGCCCUCCUGAGAGAGAACCGUGAUUAAGGCUUACUCCCCCGCUCCAGUUCUGAAGCCUGUUUGGGCUGUGACGGUGGAUGGGGACAUACUUCCCUUCUGGGCUUCUGGGGGCCUCCUGAGUGCAGCAGUGCAGAGCCUGGCCAGGUGUCUGACCUGAUGUUAGAGCCUCCUUGGUCCCUCCCAUCUAUGGACAACUUUUAGCAAAUCGCCACUUCUCAGGGCUGUGUUGUUGGUUGUGCGAUGGAGCAGAAAGGCAGCCUGCCUCCUUGUAUGAUCUCUACUCUGCAGGAGGACACAGAACACUGCUGGCUUGGGAUGCUCUGCAGGAGCUGCUCCUGUUCAGAAGAGAUUUGGAUGCCAGACGGCCAGCCCACCCAGAUGCAGAUACUCACUACGCCUUACCUCUUCAGCCUGUGAACUCCUAUUCAUCCAUCGAAACCCACUUCCUCCAGCUCUGCCUUUGUGUGGUUUUCCUGUAUUUGUCACUCAUUUCUUGUGGUUCCUAUGGCCCCUUGCUUCCCUCUACCCAAACCCAAUCACACUGGGUGGCCGUGCCCAUGUCCAUGCCUGCUUACGGCACCAGACUUCACUCCCUUGAAGCAGAGGCUGACCUGGCAGUUAGUGAUCACUUACCCUCUGCCACACACUGUUCCAUGCACUGUGCACAGUUUACCGCAUUGAAUUUUCACAACAGCCCUUGGAAGUGGGUUCUGUUGCCUUUCCCAUUCAACAGAGGAUGACACCGAGGCACAGAAGAUGCUAGGCAAUUUGUUGAAGAUCACAUGGUGGGUGAAAGGCAGGCUUGGGGUCCCAGCCCAGGUAGCCUGGGGUCCAAGGCCUGGGAGGGUCCAGCUCUCAUUCAGGAUGGUAUCUGGCCGCCACUUGGGUGCUCUUCCCCUCUCAGGCAUUUGAGGACCUCCCUUCCCCCCAGACUGGGUUAAUGGAGCCCAGUAAAUACAAUGCCAGUAUCUAAAUGAAAAGCUCCGUGUCAUUCAAUUCUUCAAGUUGUAAGAAUAAAGAAAGUACAUAGUUCUCCAAA